rnacentral:rRNA from 1 species
UACGAAGGGGGCUAGCGUUGCUCGGAAUCACUGGGCGUAAAGCGCACGUAGGCGGAUUGCUAAGUCAGGGGUGAAAUCCUGGAGCUCAACUCCAGAACUGCCUUUGAUACUGGCGACCUUGAGUCCGGGAGAGGUGAGUGGAACUGCGAGUGUAGAGGUGAAAUUCGUAGAUAUUCGCAAGAACACCGAUGGCGAAGGCAGCCAAUCUGGACC